GAGAGUUUGGCCGAGUGGUUAAGGCGUCAGAUUUACACUCUGAUAUCUACGGAUGCGCGGGUUCGAAUCCCGUAGCUCUCA